rnacentral:misc_RNA from 1 species
UCCACCCGUGCUGUAGGGCAGCCUAUCUCUGUGCAUGUGUCUGCGCUUUUCGUUGGCCGCAGCUUCUUCUCGGGGCUGUAGCAGCGGAAAGGCGAAGAGCCGUCGCCGUGGAGGAUUUGGGAUGGGACGGGAGAAGGGAUGCGACGCGUUUUACUUUCCGUUUUCCGGUCUGUGCUGAUCCCUUUUGCAGGACGACGGCACAGUGACGCCGAUGACACUGCCCUAUGGUGCUUCCGUGGAGUGCGUGUGGGGGGUUUCACAGCUGAUAUGGCUAUGUGAAUCCAUCAUGGUGUCCACCACCUCCUGCGCCGCACACAUGAGCGCACAGAAUGAGGUGUGGUGGGCUGCUUCUCUCCUUAUCCCCCUCCAGCGCUUAGGCUGGAGCGGCUCCACCACAAGAACACGUGAGGGCCGCUCGCGAGGGGAGGGGACUGCAAGAGCGAGAGCAGAGGAGCGAGACGAGAGCGCCGGAUCAGUUCCACUUCGAGGUUCGUUGUGUUCGCUAGUCCGCUGAUUCAGUGAGAGGGCUGCUGCAGGAGAGAAGAGGAGAGGCCGAGAGUAUGGAGGCGGGGGAGACAAACGCCUACUUUUUGAUGCAGCUCCUCUCCCCCCUCGUGCAUCCAUGUAGCUCCUCACGGGCGCUCACGUCAACUGCUCUACUCGGAGACAGUUGACCGACCGUCUCUACUUCAUUUAUUUGAUUUUAUCCCGUGAAGUGGGUGGCGCAUGUCGUCUCUCGCACACUUCAUGGACUACGUGCAUGCCGUGAGGGACACGUGUGCACGCCUGUGCGAACGCACUCGAUCAGCGCCUCGGCGAAUGCAAGAGCGAACGAAGCAAGAAAAUAAUGUCAACACCGAAUUUAGUGACCUCUGUGUGUUUGUGCGUGUAGGGGGUGUGCACCAGCAAGAAAUCUAAGAAGGCAGGGGAAGGGGGAAGAGGAGACGAACUGCUGCCGUCUGUUGCGUGGGUGCACCCUGCGCACCUCAUCUCUCUCUUUUCGUUCCUUCAUCAUGCAUUGCUGCCCAUUUGUGUGUACCGAUGCGUGCAUGGUCCCCUGCCUUGUUCUGUUGCCCCGCUGCCCUCCUAGCCCAGAGCGCUUUCUCCGCCACCUCCGCUGUCUUUUGUGCUAUUAGUAACACCAGCUUUCCACAAGUUUGCGCCGGCACGUUCACGGCGGCGGUGCACGACACGUCCAUCUCAUCGUCUCAUCUGCGUAGUGGUGGCUGCCUUCCGUGCGUUGUUACGAUUGCUUCAUGUAUGCUGUCGCCGCUCGAUGCCGUUCGCUUUCUGCGUCUCCUUCUUCUUCCUGCUUUUCUCGCUUCCUCUGCUGGCGUGGGCCGAUGCGCUCCGAGUCCUUCUUGGCCUGUGCGUUGAGUGUCGGGUGGCCUGCGUAGCGCCUUCAUUCUCUUUAUCUAUGCUUUUCCUGAUGCCGCCUAUCGUUUUCACGGCUCUGGCGGGAAUGCCUGUAGAGUGUCUUCUUCCUUCGUCACCUGUUUAUUUCCCCAGCAGGUUUUUCUUCGUUUCGAUACCAUGCCUCAUGCGCACCUGCGCGUGCGUGGUUGAUGGAGAAGAAAUUAAAAGGCGAGCGGGAGUUGGCAUCGAUGUACCGGUUUUGCCUUUCGAGUCCCACACGCACGCGCAGAAGCGUCAUCGCGUGUGCGCGUGCGUGUGGGCGCUUUCAUCUGCUUCCAUCCCUUCCCAAAAGUUCAACGGCCGCGCUCGCCAAUCUCACCUCGCUUCUCUCUCCGCCUCCUCCCCUCCUCCGCGGCUUUCCUUCGGGCCCCGCCUCGAUGGCGUACCCGCACGUCUUUUGCUCUCGCUGUGGCAGGCGUGCCGGAACGAGGUGUAGGGGCGAAGCGGUGGAGAGGACGAGAAAGAGAACGGUGACUUCUUCUUAUUCCGUAGCCCAUGGUGGAUGCCAGAGGCACAAAAACACAAGCGCUGGCCGGGGGCCUCGCCGUUGUCCCUAUUCGCUUAUUUUGUUCAUUGCGAAAUCGCCGCUGUGGUUUUCCAGACCUUCAGGCAACAGCCCCAAAACCCCGUAAGCGGCGCAGCGGAAACACACAAGAGACUCCCUUUGCCCUCUGGGAAGCUUGCCGUUCUGCUUCUCUGGCGAGUUGCCACUUCAGCGUCUCGACGCGUCGGGGCUUCAUGUGCGUCGCCCCGACGUCCCUCAGCGCGACGGUGGCAAAAGGUGAGAAGCAGAACAUGGUAAGAGGGGUUUGUGACUCUUUAUGUGUGCGCCGCCCUACGGCACUCCUCUGCUCCGCUUGCCACUGUUCAACAUAUCUGCUCUUCUGCUUCGUUCUCCAG